rnacentral:lncRNA from 1 species
UGUGGAUUGUGUACUGGCACAGAUGCUUCUGAAUUCUCAUAGCAUGAGGAGAAUUUGAAAUCCACGUGCUAGAGAGCAUUGCUAAUGGAAUGAAACUCUGAUUCCAUUAUAAGAAAUUUGAGAUUUUCCAUUAUUUUUUGGGAAUUAUUUUGCAUUUUGACAGAUUUCUUUGGCCCACUGUGCUUACUGUGUUUAUCAAAAAGGUAUAGCAAAAUGGGUAUGCGUAGUUAAACAGGUGGUUGCAAACAAAUCAAGUGUUACUGUAACAAGAAGAUGUAACAUUCAUCUUCAACUGUUCUUGUAACGGCUUUGUAGCUGGCAGUGGGAAACAGUGCUUUCAGUUUGCUGGAAAUGCCUCACAUACUUUUUUUGGAUAAAUUUUAGUGUUCUGUUUGGAUGUGUCUUUCUCCUUGUAAAAGUUACUUGAUGACUCAGUUGAUCAUCAGUUGUUUUCUGUUUUCAGGUGGCUGAACAGCAAUGUCACAGAACUGACCACGCUGGUCAUAGUUUCCUUUGUUUCUUUCCUGAUUGUGAAAAAUGGCUGCAAUGUAUUUCUAACAUUGUUAUUAGAAACUUUUGGUGUGUUGUUUCUUGAUUUUUUUGUUUAGACACGUUAUUUUGAUGUAU